rnacentral:lncRNA from 1 species
CAUCUGCAGUGAUCAUGGAGCCCAAGAAAGUAAAAUUUGUCACUGCCUCCGUAUCUUCCCCUUCUAUUUGCCAGGAAGUGGCCAUGAUCUUAGCUUUUUUGAUGUUGAGCUUCAGACCAUUUUUGCACUCUCCUCUUUCACCCUCAUUAUGAGGUUCUUUAAUUCCUCCUCACUUUCUGCCAUCAGAGUGGUAUCAUCUGCAUAUCUGAGGUUGUUGAUGUUUCUUCCGGCAAUCUUAAUUCUGGCUUGGGAUUCCUCCAGUCCUGCCUUUCGCAUGAUGUAUUCUGCAUAUAAGUUAAAUAAACUGGGGGAUAGUAUACAGCCUUGUCGUACUCCUUUCCCAAUUCUGAGCCAAUCAGUUGCUCCAUAUCCAGUUCUAACUGUUGCUUCCUGUCCCACAUAUAGGUUUCUCAGGAGAGAGAGAGAUAAGAUGAUCAGGGACUCCCAUUUAUUUGUGUGUUUUAUACAGAGCCAACUGAUGAUAUCACUAAUACUGAAUAGUAUUACUGCUUCUACCUGCACAGUUUUCCAAAUUUUAGAAAAUUAUAACAUUUACAUUAUUGAAGUUGCACACUUUUCAGAAGCAGAGUUCUCAUGUAGCCCGUCCCCAAAAAACCCAUCUUGCAAUUUUAAUUUUAUUUAUGUUAUGUAUUUGACUUUUAUACAACCCAUAUGGCUACCAAUGACACACUGGGCAGUUUACAUGUUAAACAAAUAUAACAUCAAGCAACAAUUGAAAACAACAAACAUAAUAAUUAUAAAAUCAAAAUUAAACACGUAUAAACCAUCAAAUUUAACUGAAACUAAUUAAGAUGAUAUGGAGGCAAGAUGGCAGGACUGAUUAUGUAAACGUUAAAACCACCACUGUAUGUUAUGAAGUCCUGAAAGCCCUGUCUAAAGAAACAUGUUUUUAGCGAUCAUUUAAAAGUUCCCAGUGAGGGGUUUAGGCGUAUUUUGGGCAGGAGGUUAUUCAAGAGUUGGGGAGUGACUGCCAAGAAGGGCUGGUUUCUAGUCUUCUCUUUCCAGGCCUCUCUAGGAGUCGAUACUCUCAACCUCUCAGCCUGAAAAGAUCAUAGAGGACGGGCCGAUCUCAUUGGAAGGCUGUGUUCUGCCAGGCACGGAGAUCCCAAACCGUUUAGGGCUUUGUAUGUUAGCACCAUCACCUUGACGCUGGCACAGACACAAUUUCCUUUAGUCCUCUCAAGAUUCAAAAGAAAUACCAUCCUUAUUUUUGUGCAUUUAGAAGUAUAUCUCUCUCAUAGCAGAGGUAAGCAUCUGUGGCCCUGUCUGAUCUAAUGCAGUCCUUAACUCAAAAAGUAUUUGAAAUAUGGUUAGUUCAGGCCUCUGGGAGAACAAUCUGACCACUGCUCUGGAGCCUAUUGCAUUGGGGAGGAGUGCAAAACAGGCUACCCUGUCAACCUAUGAACUCACCCUGACAAUUAAUGUGGGAGCCUACCCUAAUAAUUAACGUGGCUUUCAUAAGAAAAAAUUGUUGCUGAAGUCAUAAGAAUAAAAGAACAUAAGAAGGACCUAUCUAGUCCA